GAGAAAGGCUGUCCGGUGAUGUUGGUAGUCAUAUCAACGGAAGCGGCAACACAAGCGGCACGGACGGAGGAAUCAGGAUCACGGAGGCGGCGGAGAACGGUGGAGACCAUCUUCGAGAGGUGAGGAGCGAGAGAAUCGCCAUGAGAACGAGAAAGAACAGAGAGAAGCGAAACGCAAUGUUUCCUCACCGGAGAUUUUGCGGAAGAGUCUGUACUCUGAAGACAGUUAAUAAAUAAAGAGAAAGUCUCCGGUGAGAGAUUAAGAGCGAUUGAAUCAAGCUCUGCGGCAGCGAGAGCAAGAGUAUCGCGAUCAGAGAGACGAUUGAGACAAGCGAUGACUCGUUGCUUGAGAUCAGUAACCGUCAUAGCCGGCUGUGAAUGAGACGGAGAAGAACGGAUUUGAACGGAAGGCAUUGUGAAAAUGUCCGGAGACUUUUUCAGAGAUCCGCCAUGGAAGGAGAGAAGAAAAAGCUUUGUGGAGAAACUAAGAUUUGGC